rnacentral:rRNA from 1 species
CCUACGGGCGGCAGCAGUCGAGAAUUAUUCACAAUGGGGGAAACCCUGAUGGUGCGACGCCGCGUGGGGGAAUGAAGGUCUUCGGAUUGUAAACCCCUGUCAUGUGGGAGCAAAUUAAAAAGAUCGUACCACAAGAGGAAGAGACGGCUAACUCUGUGCCAGCAGCCGCGGUAAUACAGAGGUCUCAAGCGUUGUUCGGAAUCACUGGGCGUAAGGCGUGCGUAGGCUGUUUCGUAAGUCGUGUGUGAAAGGCGCGGGCUCAACCCGCGGACGGCACAUGAUACUGCGAGACUAGAGUAAUGGAGGGGGAACCGGAAUUCUCUGUGUAGCAGUGAAAUGCGUAGAUAUCGAGAGGAACACUCGUGGCGAAGGCGGGUUCCUGGACAUUAACUGACGCUGAGGCACGAAGGCCAGGGGAGCGAAAGGGAUUAGAUACCCCUGUAGUC